GAUGAACGCUGGCGGCGUGCCUAACACAUGCAAGUCGAGCGAUUCUCUUCGGAGAAGAGCGGCGGACGGGUGAGUAACGCGUGGGUAACCUGCCCUGUACACACGGAUAACAUACCGAAAGGUAUGCUAAUACGAGAUAAUAUACUUUUAUCGCAUGGUAGAAGUAUCAAAGCUCCGGCGGUACAGGAUGGACCCGCGUCUGAUUAGCUAGUUGGUAAGGUAACGGCUUACCAAGGCGACGAUCAGUAGCCGACCUGAGAGGGUGAUCGGCCACAUUGGAACUGAGACACGGUCCAAACUCCUACGGGAGGCAGCAGUGGGGAAUAUUGCACAAUGGCGAAAGCCUGAUGCAGCAACGCCGCGUGAGCGAUGAAGGCCUUCGGGUCGUAAAGCUCUGUCCUCAAGGAAGAUAAUGACGGUACUUGAGAGGAAGCCCGGCUAACUACGUG
rnacentral:rRNA from 1 species